rnacentral:lncRNA from 1 species
UUCUUUCGAUUUUACUCUUAUUUUCUGAAAUAUUUAUUAUAUGAGUAUAAAAACAAAAAAAAUAAAGAAAGGGGAGGGAACUUAUCUUGAUAAAAGCCUUCAAAUCCUUGUUUGCUUUGAAGAAAUCGAAGCUUAAAUAAGGAUUAUGAGGUCUAGGAAUGGUAAAACUUUCAGAUUCAUGGACGAGUGGAGUCGAUUAGCGUUCGUGCGACGAUCGUCUGCCGAAAACAGAGGCAAAACAACGGUUAAAGGAUGCUUUAGGUUCGGCCGAAUGAAGAAGGGAAAUAGGCUUUAGUUUUCCUUUGUUUUGAUUUGUUUUCAAGUAAUAAAUGUUAGUUUUAGGUUUUUUUUUAUCUUGUUUUAUGCAGAACACCAAACGGUGCCGGUUAUGGGAAGUAGAUCCGCGCAUUGACCCAUUUUGUGACCCGGAUUCGCGCUUUUGACCUUGAAUGGUCAAUUUGCGCGCGUGGUCCUUGUAAUUUGUUGGACUAUUCAAUCGCGCCUUAUUCAUUUUGCCUUGUUUUUUUUAAAUUUGGUUCUUUGAUUUGUGCAUGCUUUCACUUUAGCCCAAGCUGCGAUAUCUGAGGCAUCUAGCUUUCCAUUUCACCUAUUUUUUGUUUGUUAUCUUUGAUUACCUUAUUCUUUUCAGGUCACAUCCUAAUAGAUUUCUUUCUGGGUUGUAUUUGCUUGUUUGUUUCGAGCUAUGUUCUCAAUCAAUUCCUUUCUUAUCCAUGGUUAUGAUCUUUUCAAGCAUUUUGCACUGAAAUAACGAUUUUUUGGAUUAAUAAUACAUUCAUAAAGGAAGUUUUGCAUAUUACUUUGGGGAGUUUCUAAAUAAUACAGGAGCAUGAAAUAGGACUAUUGUUUAAAACCAACCAAGCUUAAGGUUGGAAAUAUUUAACCCUAAAUUGGGAUUAUCUCCUUGGAUUUUUUGUCAAAGAUAUUAAUUGGUGUUGUAAUCCCGGCAAGGAAUGAGCAGUGGGAUUGUUCUUGAAGAAAGAAAAUGGUAUUCUGUAUUCAUGCAGAUAUCAGUCAGAUACGUCUGUUCAUCAGAUCAAAUUGAUUGAAAAUCCUAUACCUCUGAGUUGUCACAGGAUGGAUAGAGGAAAUCAAAUGUCUAUUCCCCUGAGGUUACAAUGGGAAGUUCAAACUUUAUGUCCCAGGAAUUACAGUGUAAGGGACUCUGAAAUUACAGCAAGGCAAGCUUGCUAAGCAAAAUGUGAUUGUUUCUUUGGGUUUUUUGUCAAGAAUACCAGCCGAACAGGAUGGCAGCAUAAUAAAUCAGUGAUGGAGCCCUGGUGAACUACGAGCGAUGAUACCUCAAGUUUUUUUUGUAUUCAUGUAUCAUAUCACAUCUGGUUAGGAGCAUUUGAUUCAUUUCAAUCAUAGCAUCCUAAUUAUUUGACAUAAGCAUCACAUCUAGUUAGGUGCAUUUGAUUCAUUUUGAUCAUAGUAUCCUAAUUAUUUGACAUAAGUAUUACAUCUAGUUAGGAGUAUUUGAUUCAUUUUGAUCAUAACAUCCUAAUUAUUUGGCAUAAGUAAGAUACAAAAAACCGAGUCUACAGGACAUGUCCCAAAGGAUGUUGUAGUAACAUCGGUAAAGUCAGACCUUAUCUCCCUGAAGUUGCAGUGGAGUAGGUUGAAGUGUCAGUUGCAGUAAAGCAAAUCAUAACAAGUCUUAUCUCCCUGAGGUUGCAGUGGAGUAGACUGAAGAUUGAAAGAUCUUAUCUUUCUAAGCAGUAGCAGAGUAGAUCGAAGAUGGCGAAUCUUAUCUCCAUGUAACGGCAAUAGAGCAGAUUUUAGCCAUUGACCUUAUCUUGCUAAGGUAGCAAGAGAGCAGGUUGAAGAAGAUGGUCUUAUGUUCCUGAGGUAGCAAGGAAGCAGAGUGAAGAUUGAAGAUCUUAUCUCCCUAAGCAGUAGCGGAGCAGAUAGAGGAUGGCGAAUCUUAUCUCCAUAUAUCAGCAAUGGAGCAGAUUUUAGCUAUUGACCUUAUCUCUCUGAGGUAGCAAGAGAGCAGGUUGGUGAUUGUAGUCUUAUCUUUCUGAGGUAGCAAGGAAGCAGACUAAAGAUUGAAGAUCUUAUUUCCCUGAAUAGAAGUGGAGUAGAUCGAAAGAGGCGAAUCUUAUCUCCAUGUAUCGGUAAUGGAGCAGGUUUAAGCCCCAAGAUUUAUUUUCCUGAAGUUGCAGUGGAGCAGAUUGAAGAUGGUGAAUCUUAUCUCCAUGUAUCGGAAAUGGAGCAGAUUUUACUACCAAGCCUUAUCUCUCUGACGUAGCAAGAGAGCAGGUUGAAGAAUGAGUCUUAUCCUCCUGAGAUUUAAGCCCUAAGAGCAGACUGAAGAUUGAAGGUUGGAAGAGACGAAUCUUACAUCCAUGUACCGGCAAUGGAGCAGAUUUAAGCCUCAAAGCCUCAUCUCUUUGAGGUAGCAAGAGAGUAGGUUGAAGAAUGAGUCUUAUCUUCCUGAGAUAGUAAGGAAACAGACUGAGAUUUGAAGAUCUUAUUUCACUAAAAUUGCAGUGGAGUAGAUCGAUAAUGGUGAAUCUUAUCUCUGUGUAUCGACAAUGGAGCAUAUUUUACCACCAAGCCUUAUCUCUCUGAUGUAACAAGAGAGCAGGUUGAAGAAUGAGUUUUAUCUUCCUGAGGUAGCAAGGAAGCAGACUAAGAAUUGAAGAUUUUAUCUCCUUGAAGUUGCAACGGAGCAGAUCUUCGUAGAUGAUGAAUCUCAUUUCCAUGUAUCGGCAAUGGAGAAGAUUUGAGCCACCGAUCCUAUUUCUCUAAAAUUGCAGUCAAGAUUCAACAAAAUCGGGCAAAAUUGACCCUAUUUAAAGUCUUUGCUCUAUUCUCGUUACACGAUAAUGAGCAAAGAGGGGCAGCUGUAAGACCCAAUUUCUGCCCGGGCUUACACCAAAUUAAAACCAAUCAAAUAAAAUGUUCAAGUCCUUUUACAACUCAGCCCAACUACCAAAACUAGCCUAAUUAACAAACAACCCAAACCCCAUACCCGAAUAAAACAAAACAGGCCCAAUGGCCCAAAACACUAAUAAAUUUUUCGACAGAAACCCUAGGUCACUAGAAUCUUCAGCCGUAGUAGCCUCCAAUCGAUUCUUCCAUACGCGUUGAAGCUUCCAUGCGUGCGUAGCCUCCUCUUCAUGCCAUGCACACCUGUAAAAUAGAAUAACAGCAGCGCAAAUAGACAACAAAUUGACAGCAAAGGAUAACAGAUUACAGCAAUGAAAUUAGGAUUUUUCUUUUUAUUUAUUUUAUUAUUUUCAGCUAUAAAAAUCGAAUGAAAUGGAAUGUAAAGGGGCUUCAUCUUCUUUUUCCUAGAAAUAUACACGCAUAUGAGAGAAAAAUAGAAAUCAAUUCCAGAGAAUUUUGUUUCCAAAAGGUGAUUUAGAUUUGAUUAUUCUUUCGAUUCUACUCUUAUUUUCUGAAAUAUUUAUUAUGUGAGUAUAAAAACAAAAAAAAAUAAAGAAAGGGGUGGGAACUUAUCUUGAUAAAAGCCUUCAAAUCCUUGUUUGCUUUGAAGAAAUCGAAGCUUAAAUAAGGAUUAUGAGGUCUAGGAAUGGUAAAACUUUCAGAUUCAUGGACGAGCGGAGUCGAUUAGCCUUCGUGCGAUGAUCGUCUGCUGAAAACGGAGGCAAAACAACGGUUGAAGGAUGCUUUAGGUUCGGCCGAAUGAAGAAGGGAAAUAGGCUUUAGUUUUUCUUUGUUUU